AUUGAACGCUGGCGGCAUGCCUUACACAUGCAAGUCGAACGGCAGCGGACCUUCGGGUGCCGGCGAGUGGCGAACGGGUGAGUAAUAUAUCGGAACGUACCUUUCAGUGGGGGAUAACGUAGCGAAAGUUACGCUAAUACCGCAUAUUCUGUGAGCAGGAAAGCAGGGGAUCGCAAAACCUUGCGCUGAUUGAGCGGCCGAUAUCAGAUUAGCUAGUUGGUGAGGUAAAGGCUCACCAAGGCGACGAUCUGUAGCGGGUCUGAGAGGAUGAUCCGCCACACUGGAACUGAGACACGGUCCAGACUCCUACGGGAGGCAGCAGUGGGGAAUUUUGGACAAUGGGCGCAAGCCUGAUCCAGCCAUGCCGCGUGAGUGAUGAAGGCCUUAGGGUUGUAAAGCUCUUUAUCAGGGAAGAUGAUGACGGUACCUGAAGAAUAAGCACCGGCUAACUUCGUGCCAGCAGCCGCGGUAAUGUG
rnacentral:rRNA from 1 species